rnacentral:rRNA from 1 species
UCGCCUGUUUAUCAAAAACAUUUCUAAAUGAAAAUUAUUUUUAGUAAGACCUGCUCAAUGAUCCUUUAAAUUGCCGCAUUCAAUGUGCUAAGGUAGCAUAAUCAUUUGCCUUUUAAUUGCAGGCUAGUAUGAAUGGUUGUUCAUGUAAAUUUCUUUAUUAACUUUACAACUUUAAUUUUUCUUAAAAGUAAAAAGACUUUUAUUUAUAAGAGGGACGACAAGACCCUAUCGAGCUUUACUUAUGUUGAACUGGGGCGGUAAAAAACAAAAUCUUUUUUUUAUUUUUCUUCAAACAUUCUUUUUAUAAAAUUUUUUAAGUUACCGUAGGGAUAACAGCAUAAUUUUCUUUUAAAGUUCCUAUUAAAAAGAAAGUUUAUGACCUCGAUGUUGAAUUAUUAAUCUUUUUGAAGCAAAAUUUAAAAAAGAAAGUCUGUUCGACUUUUAAAACUUUACGUGAUCUGAGUUC